rnacentral:tRNA from 1 species
AAGAUUGUAGUCAACAAUGACAUUUGAUUUGCACUCAAAAAGUGCUAUUUUAGCCUUUCUU